GGCGGCGUGCCUAAUACAUGCAAGUAGAACGCUGAAGGAGGAGCUUGCUCUUCUGGAUGAGUUGCGAACGGGUGAGUAACGCGUAGGUAACCUGCCUGGUAGCGGGGGAUAACUAUUGGAAACGAUAGCUAAUACCGCAUAAGAGUAGAUGUUGCAUGACAUUUGCUUAAAAGGUGCAAUUGCAUCACUACCAGAUGGACCUGCGUUGUAUUAGCUAGUUGGUGGGGUAACGGCUCACCAAGGCGACGAUACAUAGCCGACCUGAGAGGGUGAUCGGCCACACUGGGACUGAGACACGGCCCAGACUCCUACGGGAGGCAGCAGUAGGGAAUCUUCGGCAAUGGACGGAAGUCUGACCGAGCAACGCCGCGUGAGUGAAGAAGGUUUUCGGAUCGUAAAGCUCUGUUGUAAGAGAAGAACGAGUGUGAGAGUGGAAAGUUCACACUGUGAC
rnacentral:rRNA from 1 species